rnacentral:rRNA from 1 species
CAGCAGCCACGGUAAUACGAAGGGUGCAAGCGUUACUCGGAAUUACUGGGCGUAAAGCGUGCGUAGGUGGUGGUUUAAGUCCGUUGUGAAAGCCCUGGGCUCAACCUGGGAAUUGCAGUGGAUACUGGGUCACUAGAGUGUGGUAGAGGAUAGUGGAAUUUCCGGUGUAGCAGUGAAAUGCGUAGAGAUCGGAAGGAACAUCUGUGGCGAAGGCGACUAUCUGGGCCAACACUGACACUGAGGCACGAAAGCGUGGGGAGCAAACAGGAUUAGAUACCCCGGUAGUCCCUGUCUCUUAUAA